rnacentral:rRNA from 1 species
UACAGAGGUCUCAAGCGUUUGUUCGGAUUCAUUGGGCGUAAAGGGUGCGUAGGCGGCGCGGUAAGUCGGGUGUGAAAUCUCGGAGCUUAACUCCGAAACUGCAUUCGAUACUGCCGUGCUUGAGGACUGGAGAGGAGACUGGAAUUUACGGUGUAGCGGUGAAAUGCGUAGAUAUCGUAAGGAAGACCAGUGGCGAAGGCGGGUCUCUGGGCCUUACCUGACGCUGAGGAGCGAAAGCGUGGGUAGCGAACAGG